AGAGCAUGCUAUAGUUAACAGAGUGGGCUAUAGUCAUUAGCGCAUGCUAUAGUUAACAGAGUGGGCUAUAGUUAACAGAGUGGGCUAUAUUUCAAUGAUGGCCACCCCUCAGAACCACCCCUAUAGUUGAUUACUGUUGCUGUAUGUGGCUCUUCUUCUGUAAGGCCUACUGUCAGAGACAGACAGAUUGAUGGGUUGUCAGACAGACAGAUAAUUUGUCGGACAGACAGACAGAUAAUUUGUCAAACUGACAGACAGACAAACAAAUGGGGUUUUCGGACAAACUGACAGACAGACGAACAAAUGGGGUUUUCGGACAAACUGACAGACAGACGAACAAAUGGGGUUUUCGGACAAACUGACAGAUAGACAAACAGAUGGUUUGUUGGACAGACAUAGAGAUGGUUUGUCAGACAGAGAUAGACAGAUAGGUUGUCGGACAGACAGAUGCGUUGUCAGACAGAGUUUGUCAGACAGAGAUAGACAGUUGGGUUGUCGGACAGACAGACAGAUGGUUUGUCAGACAGACAGAUAGAGAAAUGGGUUGAAAGACAGACAGACAAACAGACAGAUGUGUUAUUAGACAGACAGACAUGCGGUUUGUCAGUCAGACAGACAGACAGAUGUGUUAUUGGACAGACAGAUAGACAGAAAGAUGGUUUGUCAGCCAGACAGACAGGUUGUUGGAGAGGGAGUAUCUCAUUGAACUAUAAAUACUAACUCUGGUUUAAAUUUCAACACGGCAGCUGCAAGUGAUGUUGGAUCUAUAUGUGUUAU
ensembl:lncRNA